UACGUAGGGCGCAAGCGUUGUCCGGAAUUAUUGGGCGUAAAGAGCUCGUAGGCGGUUUGUCGCGUCUGCCGUGAAAGUCCGGGGCUCAACUCCGGAUCUGCGGUGGGUACGGGCAGACUAGAGUGAUGUAGGGGAGACUGGAAUUCCUGGUGUAGCGGUGGAAUGCGCAGAUAUCAGGAGGAACACCGAUGGCGAAGGCAGAUCUCUGGGCCGUAACUGACGCUGAGGAGCGAAAGCAUGGGGAGCGAACAGG
rnacentral:rRNA from 1 species